rnacentral:rRNA from 1 species
GGUAGCGAAAUUCCUUGUCGGGUAAGUUCCGACCCGCACGAAAGGCGUAACGAUUUGGGCACUGUCUCAACGAGAGACUCGGUGAAAUCAUAGUACCUGUGAAGAUGCAGGUUACCCGCGACAGGACGGAAAGACCCCGUGGAGCUUUACUGUAGCCUGAUAUUGAAAUUCGGCACAGCUUGUACAGGAUAGGUAGGAGCCUUUGAAACGUGAGCGCUAGCUUACGUGGAGGCGCUGGUGGGAUACUACCCUAGCUGUGUUGGCUUUCUAACCCGCACCACUUAUCGUGGUGGGAGACAGUGUCAGGCGGGCAGUUUGACUGGGGCGGUCGCCUCCUAAAAGGUAACGGAGGCGCUCAAAGGUUCCCUCAGAAUGGUUGGAAAUCAUUCAUAGAGUGUAAAGGCAUAAGGGAGCUUGACUGCGAGACCUACAAGUCGAGCAGGGUCGAAAGACGGACUUAGUGAUCCGGUGGUUCCGCAUGGAAGGGCCAUCGCUCAACGGAUAAAAGCUACCCCGGGGAUAACAGGCUUAUCUCCCCCAAGAGUUCACAUCGACGGGGAGGUUUGGCACCUCGAUGUCGGCUCAUCGCAUCCUGGGGCUGUAGUCGGUCCCAAGGGUUGGGCUGUUCGCCCAUUAAAGCGGUACGCGAGCUGGGUUCAGAACGUCGUGAGACAGUUCGGUCCCUAUCCGUCGUGGGCGUAGGAAAUUUGAGAGGAGCUGUCCUUAGUACGAGAGGACCGGGAUGGACAUACCUCUGGUGUACCAGUUGUCGUGCCAACGGCAUAGCUGGGUAGCUAUGUGUGGACGGGAUAAGUGCUGAAAGCAUCUAAGCAUGAAGCCCCCCUCAAGAUGAGAUUUCCCAACUUCGGUUAUAAGAUCCCUCAAAGAUGAUGAGGUUAAUAGGUUCGAUGUGGAAGCAUGGUGACAUGUGGAGCUGACGAAUACUAAUCGAUCGAAGACUUAAUCAA